rnacentral:rRNA from 1 species
UACAGAGGUCCCAAGCGUUGUUCGGAUUCAUUGGGCGUAAAGGGUGCGUAGGCGGCGCGGUAAGUCGGGUGUGAAAUCUCGGGGCUUAACUCCGAAACUGCAUUUGAUACUGCGGUGCUUGAGGACUGGAGAGGAGACUGGAAUUUACGGUGUAGCGGUGAAAUGCGUAGAUAUCGUAAGGAAGACCAGUGGCGAAGGCGGGUCUCUGGACAGUUCCUGACGCUGAGGCACGAAGGCCAGGGGAGCAAACGGG